ensembl:lncRNA
UUUUCAUAUAACAGGAAACAUAACUCAGACAGGAAGCACAAAUACAACAGCGUAAAAAAAACAGCUUCUUGAAGAACUUUGUAAUUAACAAACAUGUCCUCUACUCUGAGUCUUAGAGUUUUUACAUCUAGUAGAAUGCCUUCAGUAUGGAUGGUGCUUCUUCAUUUUCAUAUAAGCAAUGCUGUUGCAGAGACGAUCAGAGUAUUUGGACGUAAAGGAGACUCCAUAAUCCUUGACCCUGGAAAAAAUAACGUGUGGAAUCAAAGGCAAUCAAUACCUGGAUUUGACAUGAGAUGGAAACAUUCGGAUAUGUAUAUUGUUAAAUAUUCCAAAGUACUGCCUAAUUUCGCUGAAAGGUAUAAGAUAUUUCCAAAUGGUACACUGAUGAUUAGCCAAGGACAUGAGACAGGCUUGGAAAAUUAUACAGUGGAACAAUAUAAUGGUAAUGGAGGUCUGAUAUCCCAGCGGAACAUUGAGCUCUGUGUGCUAGAACCAGUCACCAAACCAAAGGUGAGAUACUUUUGUUUUCAUAACGGAACGAUUAUUCUGAACUGCUCUGUUGAUAAAGGAGACCAGGUGGUGAUCAACUGGAUUGGGCAGGAUUUCUUGUCUAAUAACAUCCUGAGCACAGGUCCUGUCAUAUUUAUGGGCGACCAAAUGCCUGGAAAUCUGUCCUGUGUGGCAAAGAAUGAAAUAAGUAAAGAAUGCAUCAGCCCAGAUGUUCAUAGAUGCAGAGGUUACUAUUCAACUGUAACUGCAUUUGGACUCCUGGCAUUUGCCCUAUUGAUGCUGGUGGUGACCAUUCUGGAUUUGAAAAAGGGGUGCAAGAAGACAAAACCAGCAGGUGUGGAGGAGGACCACUAUGUUGAGAUGAAAGGAGAUUUAUUCAUUCAGCAACAGGAGGAAGCCACAGCCGACCCAGACCAAGGCAUCUCCCAAAACGCAUUCCCCAAACCUGAAGCCCCUUCAAAUCGAAGAAAGCUGGAGUUGGAUGAUAAUAAUAUUUAUUGCUAAAGACCAUGGCAUCAAUGUGUGUUCGUGGCAUAAUGUUUGAAACAUGGUUAAAGCAUCUUACCUGUAACUGAAAGGUGGCUAGAAUGAAUCUCAGAGCCAUCCAUGUGAAAAAAGUUGUUAUUCUGUCCUUGAGCAAAGCAAUUAACCCUGUUCAUUUCAUCAUUUAGAAAAUGUAUGUUGAUGUAUUUCUAAGAUGAUCUUAUGAACUAAUAGUAUUGUCUACUUUUUUGUUUAUAUUUGAUUGCUGGUAGAGACUAGACUCUACAGAGUCUAGUCUCCAUACCAGACUGCACCACUAGGGGGAGGCAUAACAAUGUGUUGAAGACAGGUUUCUGUGACUGGGGGGAAAGAAACAUCACAUGAUUGCUGUAAUUGGAAUACAGCAGGGACAACUACAAAUUAUUCAAUUUCCAACUGUUUUGGUAAUAUUUCUUAAAUGUAUGGGUUUAUUUGUUCAAAACAACAAGGUAAGAUUUGCUGUAAUAAACUACAUGUAAUUCAACCGAC